UGCAUCGGCCGGGAAUCGAACCCGGGCCGCCCGUGUGGCAGGCGAGAAUUCUACCACUGAACCACCGAUGC
rnacentral:tRNA from 1 species